rnacentral:rRNA from 1 species
CCUAGUAGCGGCGAGCGAAGCGGGAAGAGCUCAAAUUUAUAAUCUGGCACCUUCGGUGUCCGAGUUGUAAUCUCUAGAAAUGUUUUCCGCGUUGGACCGCACACAAGUCUGUUGGAAUACAGCGGCAUAGUGGUGAGACCCCCGUAUAUGGUGCGGACGCCCAGCGCUUUGUGAUACAUUUUCGAAGAGUCGAGUUGUUUGGGAAUGCAGCUCAAAUUGGGUGGUAAAUUCCAUCUAAAGCUAAAUAUUGGCGAGAGACCGAUAGCGAACAAGUACCGUGAGGGAAAGAUGAAAAGCACUUUGGAAAGAGAGUUAACAGUACGUGAAAUUGUUGGAAGGGAAACGCUUGAAGUCAGACUUGCUUGCCGAGCAAUCGGUUUGCAGGCCAGCAUCAGUUUUCCGGGAUGGAUAAUGGUAGAGAGAAGGUAGCAGUUUCGGCUGUGUUAUAGCUCUCUGCUGGAUACAUCUUGGGGGACUGAGGAACGCAGUGUGCCUUUUGGCGGGGGUUUCGACCUCUUCACACUUAGGAUGCUGGUGGAAUGGCUUUAAACGACCCGUCUUGAAACACG